rnacentral:misc_RNA from 1 species
GAUGAAGAACGUAGUGAAAUGCGAUAAGUAAUGUGAAUUGCAGAAUUCAGUGAAUCAUCGAAUCUUUGAACGCACAUUGCGCCCGCCAGUAUUCUGGCGGGCAUGCCUGUUCGAGCGUCAUUUCAACCAUCAAGCCCCCGGCUUGUGUUGGGGACCUGCGGCUGCCGCAGGCCCUGAAAAGCAGUGGCGGGCUCGCUGUCACACCGAGCGUAGUAGCAUACAUCUCGCUCUGGGCGUGCUGCGGGUUCCGGCCGUUAAACCCCCUUCAUAACCCAAGGUUGACCUCGGAUCAGGUAGGAAGACCCGCUGAACUUAAGCAUAUCAAUAAGCGGAGGA